rnacentral:rRNA from 1 species
UACGUAGGUGGCAAGCGUUGUCCGGAAUUAUUGGGCGUAAAGCGCGCGCAGGUGGUUUCUUAAGUCUGAUGUGAAAGCCCACGGCUCAACCGUGGAGGGUCAUUGGAAACUGGGGGACUUGAGUACAGAAGAGAAGAGUGGAAUUCCACGUGUAGCGGUGAAAUGCGUAGAGAUGUGGAGGAACACCAGUGGCGAAGGCGACUCUUUGGUCUGUAACUGACGCUGAGGCGCGAAAGCGUGGGAAGCAAACAGG